CCGGCCCGCCGCCCCGCGAAGCCCUGCGACGCCCCAGAACGGCUCUCACCCUCAGCCCCUCAGCCACGACGACCCGACCCGAGCCGAGCCCUCAGAGACCGGAUGUGGGCCGCGGACGCUGUCAGACAGAAGAUUUUUGAAGAAAAAUUAAGAACAUUAGUCUGAAAACUACAAAGGAAACCAACCUCAUGUUCCUGGCUGAGAGAUCAGAAUAUAACCAAGGGAUUGCUAGGGAAAUGGCAUUGUCAAACAGAAGACCGAUUUCAGGGAUGGAGGAAAAGUGGGCAGACCAGAACUAGGCUGUCACCAUAUCCCUGCAAGAAACUCUCAAGAUACCUUUCGGAGAGAAAUGUGAAUAAUUGGUUCCCGAGGGGAGAAAGGAGGACAAGAUCAGGAAGAGCCACAUGGUUGAGGGGGCAGGACUUCAAAGAUUCUUAAUAUUCUAACAUAUUUCAUUAAUGCAGACAAGCCAAUAUUCUUCACUUAACAUCUCUGAAAUAAGGAUGUGCCUUACAAGUUAUACCACCUUAGAAUUAUUCCUAGCAUCCUUUUUUCUCUUUCAGUGGUAAAUAAAAUAAAGGUGUAACUUACAAACAA